rnacentral:rRNA from 1 species
UACGUAGGGUCCAAGCGUUAAUCGGAAUUACUGGGCGUAAAGCGUGCGCAGGUGGUUCGUUAAGCGCGAUGUGAAAUCCCCGGGCUCAACCUGGGAAUUGCAUUGCGAACUGGCGGACUAGAGUACGGGAGAGGGGGGUGGAAUUCCACGUGUAGCAGUGAAAUGCGUAGAGAUGUGGAGGAACACCGAUGGCGAAGGCAGCCCCCUGGCCUGCUACUGACACUCAUGCACGAAAGCGUGGGGAGCAAACAGG